UCGCUGACGAGUGGCGGACGGGUGAGUAAUGCUUGGGAACUUGCCUUUGCGAGGGGGAUAACAGUUGGAAACGACUGCUAAUACCGCAUAAUGUCUACGGACCAAACGGGGCUUAGGCUCCGGCGCAAAGAGAGGCCCAAGUGAGAUUAGCUAGAUGGUGAGGUAAAGGCUCACCAUGGCAACGAUCUCUAGCUGUUCUGAGAGGAAGAUCAGCCACACUGGGACUGAGACACGGCCCAGACUCCUACGGGAGGCAGCAGUGGGGAAUAUUGCACAAUGGGGGAAACCCUGAUGCAGCCAUGCCGCGUGUGUGAAGAAGGCCUUCGGGUUGUAAAGCACUUUCAGUUGUGAGGAAAGGGUGUUGGUUAAUACCCAAUAUCUGUGACGUUAACAACACAAAAAGCACCGGCUAACUCCGUGCCAGCAGCC
rnacentral:rRNA from 1 species